rnacentral:rRNA from 1 species
AGUGAACGCUGGCGGUAGGCCUAACACAUGCAAGUCGAACGGCAGCACAGUAAGAGCUUGCUCUUACGGGUGGCGAGUGGCGGACGGGUGAGGAAUACAUCGGAAUCUACUUUUUCGUGGGGGAUAACGUAGGGAAACUUACGCUAAUACCGCAUACGACCUACGGGUGAAAGCAGGGGAUCUUCGGACCUUGCGCGAUUGAAUGAGCCGAGGUCGGAUUAGCUAGUUGGCGGGGUAAAGGCCCACCAAGGCGACGAUCCGUAGCUGGUCUGACAGGAUGGUCACCCACACGGGAACUGAGACACGGUCCAGACUCCUACGGGGGGCAGCAGUGGGGAAUAUUGGACAAUGGGCGCAAGCCUGAUCCAGCCAUACCGCGUGGGUGAAGAAGGCCUUCGGGUUGUAAAGCCCUUUUGUUGGGAAAGAAAAGCAGCAGGUUAAUACCCCGCUGUUCUGACGGUACCCAAAGAAUAAGCACCGGCUAACUUCGUG